rnacentral:rRNA from 1 species
CAAGUCUGGUGCCAGCAGCCGCCGUAAUUCCAGCUCCAAUAGCGUAUAUUAAAGUUGUUGCAGUUAAAAAGCUCGUAGUUGAAACUUGGGCCUGGCUGGCAGGUCCGCCUCACCGCGUGUACUUGUCCGGCCGGGCCUUUCCUUCUGGAGAACCUCAUGCCCUUCACUGGGUGUGUUGGGGAACCAGGACUUUUACUUUGAAAAAAUUAGAGUGUUCAAAGCAGGCCUUUGCUCGAAUACGUUAGCAUGGAAUAAUAGAAUAGGACGUGCGGUCCUAUUUUGUUGGUUUCUAGGACCGCCGUAAUGAUUAAUAGGGACAGUCGGGGGCAUCAGUAUUCAAUUGUCAGAGGUGAAAUUCUUGGAUUUAUUGAAGACUAACUACUGCGAAAGCAUUUGCCAAGGAUGUUUUCAUUAAUCAGUGAACGAAAGUUAGGGGAUCGAAGACGAUCAAAUACCGUCGUAUUCUUAACCGUAACCUAUGCCG